UAGUACCGUGGGGCGGCUGAUAACGCUUUAGCGAGCCGCGAAGAUAGGAGGCGGGGAAGAAGGGGGACGUGUACCUCUCCCUCAUUCACGGUACCACCGCGAGGGGGAGUGGGGGGCUACAAGGGGACGGAGAGAAGAGUCCAGACGUCCCACAUCCUGAGGGCGAGUUUCAGCCUCGUAGAGGGCAGCGAAAGUAAUUGCAUGGAUCAGGAAAAUCUUGCAAUCGGAAAACAGCAGCGUCCCCGUAAUUUCAAUAUAGGUACAUUUACCUGAACUCAUCACCUUCCCACCCCCAUCCCAUCGACUCUGUGCUGUAUCCUGAACCGGCUGACAGAACAAUGAUGUAGACUUGACUUGUUUUCGCCAACCUGGAAUGAAGCAAAGCUCUUGUGCACCCAAGAUCUGCUCUCUGUUGUAAAUCCUGUUCAGACCUGGUCUAAUUGGUUUGAAUAAAUAAAGAACCGGAAUCUUUCUCAUCCAAACUAGUUGCCAGCAUAUUUUUAAGGCCACCUCCCUUCAAAUUUAAAAGGAAGUGUUGAAUGUACUGUCACUAUAAAUUAAAAGCCCUGGAAAUUCACACGCAAGGAGGCAUUCUUUCUCCCAGGGGCACAAAAUUGUUUAAAAUUUGCAGAUAGGGUUAUUAAACACGAAGAUCCUUUUGCUA